CAGUAGCCACGGGAACACGGAGGGUGCAAGCGUUAAUCGGAAUUACUGGGCGUAAAGCGCACGCAGGCGGUCUGACAAGUCAGAUGUGAAAUCCCCGGGCUUAACCUGGGAACUGCAUUUGAAACUGUCAGGCUGGAGUCUUGUAGAGGGGGGUGGAAUUCCAGGUGUAGCGGUGAAAUGCGUAGAGAUCUGGAGGAAUACCGGUGGCGAAGGCGGCCCCCUGGACAAAGACUGACGCUCAGGUGCGAAAGCGUGGGGAGCAAACAGGAUUAGAUACCCCUGUAGUCCCUGUCUCUUAUAC
rnacentral:rRNA from 1 species